CUCUCUCUCUCUCUCUCUCUCUCUCUCUCUCUCUCUCUCUCUCUCUCCAGCCAUGUCGCACUUCGGACGAUCCGGACCGCCGGACAUCAGAGACACCUACUCCCUCCUCGUCCUCAACAUCACUUUCCGUACUACCGCCGACGAUCUCUUCCCGCUGUUCGACAAGUACGGCAAGGUCGUCGACGUGUUCAUCCCCCGCGACCGGAGGACCGGCGACUCCCGCGGCUUCGCUUUCGUGCGGUAUAAGUAUCAGGAUGAGGCCGCCAAGGCCGUCGAUAAGCUCGACGGGAGAGUUGUGGACGGAAGAGAGAUUAUGGUUCAGUUUGCUAAGUAUGGGCCCAAUGCUGAGAGGAUCUCCAGUCACAAGGGGAAAGUUAGUGAAUCUUCGUCCAAGUUGAAGAGCAGGUCAAGAAGCCGGAGCCCUCGUCCAAGGUAUCGAGAUGAAUACAAGGAUAGGGAUUACAGGAGAAGAAGUCGCAGUCGUAGUAGGGAUAGAUAUGACCGUGACAGGCACCAUAGGAGUGAAAGAGAGCAUCGCUACAGAAGCAGGAGCCGUAGUGCAAGUCCUGAAAAUCGUAAAAGGAACAAAUAUGAUGACAAGCGUCGUAGUCGGAGCCGGUCCUAUGAAAGCGUCUCACCUGCACGACCUAGCUCUAAAUCUCGAAGGAGUCCCUCUCCUCGUAGGACACCUCCAAGGAGUGAGAGUCCUGAUGCACGGAACCGUAAUGAACGCUCGCCUAGCCCCAAAGAUGUUUCACCACAGGUUCGGCGUGAAGAUUCUCCAAGUCCUCGUAAAUCUGAUGCUGAGGAAUGAUGGGAUUGCUUAUCAUGUGACCUGGGGUUCUACCUUCGUCUUGAGGCCUUGUGCUGGCAUCCUUGGAAGUUGAGUUGCAUGUACCAUCAACAUGUUGAAUGUUUUCUUAUGACUGUCGUGCAGUUUUGUUGAAGUGAUGUUCGUGAACAUUGCUGAUUGAAGAGAUGCUGUACUAGCUAGCUGUUGGUGCUAUUUUUACUACACAAAUGGUAGAUGUCAAUGUGUCAUGUUGAUGCUGAAUGCUGUUGGGUCAUACCUGUUUUGCCUUGAUGAAACUCGGGUUGGUGAUGUUUGGGAGGAGUGAACAUUGCUGGUGGUGCUAUUUUGACCACAGAUAUGGUAGAUGUCAAUGUCAUGUUCAUGCUGAUUGCGGUCUGGUCUUAGCUGUUUUGCUUGAUGAAAUUCUUUCGUUUGAUCUUGCUAAGAAAUCCUCUAUGCUGUGGCCGUCUAAACUUGCUUGGAAUUCAGGUGCCAUUGCAUGUAGCUGAGGCAGUUUAUGCAAAAAUGUCAUUUUUCAUUUUUGUUUUCUUUUGGAAAAGAAGGGUGGGUUUUCAGGGGAGCGGGCCAAACUCUUGCUGGCUGACCCUGAAAAUCUAUGUUUGCUAGUCACGCCAUCCAUGACGCAGGAUUUAUAUACAUAUAAACAUGGUGUCACUUCUUUUUCUUUAAAUGCUACAAGAUUCAGUGUUAUACUGUGUGAAGCUUAAUUUAUUAUCACAAGGUAACCAUGUACAAAUAUUGAAUGAUAUAUAUAGUUGUACA